rnacentral:lncRNA from 1 species
GCCAGCCAGGAAUCACCUUCACCUGCUGUUUUCAGCUCGAAGGCUGUUGCCUCCCUAUGGUUGCUGGCUUCCUCUCCAUACUGCCCUUCUCCUCCUUCUGGCUGGUGGCAAGCUUCCCCUUGAGCUCGUCACGUUCUUCAGUGCAGCACAACACAGAGUAAAGGUCCAUGGGUGUUUAUGCGGCGGCUGGAGCAGCCAGAAGAACCCUCUGCUCACCAACACCUUCCUCUGUCUCCCAAGUCCUUCCUGUCGGCUCCUUGCAGACAGACGGCUAAGUUCACCUGGGGUAGGACAGAAACAGCCUCGUGUCCCGAUAAGUGUCCCCAGGCGUAGUCAGAGUAAAGGUCGUUGGGAAGUACAGUUGUUAUUACUGCCCGCUCCUUGCACGCACAAACAAGUCAAAGGCUUCCUUAUGCUGGUUCCAGACAUCCACCACGAAUGUGGAUGAUGAGCCUAUGGGGCUGCCGCACUGCAGAGCCAACACGGGGUGAAAAUGAAUCGAGCACGUCCUGCAGGUGCCUCUGCUGAGGGAUCUUUUCACGCUGAGGACACUGAACAGAGAGAAUAUGCAGCUGGUCACAGAAAGCCGUUCAGCUAUUUCAAAGCUUCUACACAAAACAAAACGUUCCAUAAAGUUUGCUUGAAAGUUGAAUUGUA